CCUACGGGCAGCAGCAGUGGGGAAUAUUGGACAAUGGGCGAAAGCCUGAUCCAGCCAUGCCGCGUGUGUGAAGAAGGCCUUCGGGUUGUAAAGCACUUUCAGUGGGGAAGAAAGCCUUGGGGCUAAUACCCUCGAGGAAGGACAUCACCCACAGAAGAAGCACCGGCUAACUCCGUGCCAGCAGCCGCGGUAAUACGGAGGGUGCGAGCGUUAAUCGGAAUUACUGGGCGUAAAGCGCGCGUAGGCGGUCUGAUAAGCCGGUUGUGAAAGCCCCGGGCUCAACCUGGGAACGGCAUCCGGAACUGUCAGGCUAGAGUGCAGGAGAGGAAGGUAGAAUUCCCGGUGUAGCGGUGAAAUGCGUAGAGAUCGGGAGGAAUACCAGUGGCGAAGGCGGCCUUCUGGACUGACACUGACGCUGAGGUGCGAAAGCGUGGGUAGCAAACAGGAUUAGAUACCCGAGUAGUC
rnacentral:rRNA from 1 species